AGGGACAGGGUAACACACACACACACACACAGACACACACACACACACACCUUUUAUUGUUUAGACACAGGGACAGGAUAACACACACACAGACACACACAGACACACCUUUUAUUGUGUAGACACAGGGACAGGGUAUCAGAGCUACUAUCAGAACUACUGCUGAACCAUUACUGUCAUUUCAUUCAGUCAUUAUUAUUGCUGGUCUUUUGUGUGAAUAGCCAACCACUGUGUGUCGGUGUUUGUGUGUGUGUGUGUGUGUGUGUGUGUGUGUGUGUGUGUGUGUGUGUGUGUGUGUGUAAGCCUCGCCAGCCUUGAAGACUCUCCGUUCAGUCUCCAUUUACAAUCACAGCUGAAAUUAAAAAAACAGCCAUCCGGGCGGUCAGUCAGUCAGCCAGUCAGUCAGUCAGUCAGUCAGUCAGUUAGCCAGUCAGUCCGGCCGGUCAGUCAGUCUGGGCCGGUCAGUCAGUCAGUUAGCCAGUCAGUCAGCCAGUCAGUCAGUCAGUUAGCCAGUCAGUCAGUCAGUCAGCCAGUAAGCCAGUCAGUCAGUCAGCCAGUAAGCCAGUCAGUCAGUCAGCCAGUAAGCCAGUCAGUCAGUCAGUCAGUCAGCCAGUGGGCCAGUAAGCCAGUCAGUCAGUCAGUCAGUUAACCAGUCAGUCAGUCAGCCAGUCAGCCAGUAAGCCAGUCAGUGAGUCAGCCAGCCAGUCAGCCAGUCAGCCAGUCAGUCAGCCAGUCAGCCAGUCAGUCAGUCAGUCAGUCAGUCAGUCAGCCAGUCAGCCAGUAAGCCAGUCAGUCAGUCAGUCAGUUAGCCAGUCAGUCAGUCAGCCAGUCAGUCAGCCAGCCAGUAAGCCAGUCAGUCAGCCAGUCAGUCAGUCAGCCAGUCAGUCAGUUAGCCAGUCAGUUAGCCAGUCAGUCAGCCAGUAAGCCAGUCAGUUAGCCAGUCAGUCAGUCAGCCAGUCAAUCAGUAAGCCAGUCAGUCAGUCAGUCAGUCAGCCAGUCAGUCAGUAAGCCAGUCAGUCAGCCAGCCAGUCAGUCAGCCAGUCAGCCAGUAAGCCAGUCAGUUAGCCAGUCAGUCAGUCAGCCAGUCAGUCCGGCCGUCCGGUCUCAGAAAGACGAGGAUUUGAACCGUUAUAUAUUUCAGUAAAUGAGUCUGAUCCCCUUGUUCACAUGGUCUACUUCUCUGUCCUCUCUGUCUAGACAUACUCCCAUCCAAUCACAACGAUAACAACCAACACAUUCACCAAUCACAACGAGGAUAACAACCAACACAUUCACCAAUCAGAACGAGGAUAACAACCAACACAUUCACCAAUCACAACGAGGAUAACAACCAACACAUUUACCAAUCACAACGAG
ensembl:lncRNA